CUCAUCUUACCCAUUUUCAACUUUUACUCUGUAUGAAAAUUAAUCUUAAUGGUUGAUUCAACACCAUUUACUAGUAUAUUCAGAUUUCCAUUACAUUUAUUUCACAAAGAGCCACCUGAUUUUAAAGCCAUUGUCAAAAAUAGGCACUGGUCUUUGUAACAUCUUAUGCAGACAGGUGAGACAACACGGAUGAAAGCCCAAAUCUUACUGCCUUUCCUUCACUCCACCUCUAAACUUUCCCAAGUGAAGGAAAAGAAAGGGCAAAACAACAAAUUGUAUGUAAGUUGGCACUUAGGUAGUCAUCUGAGUUGGAUCUCUAAAGAGGAACCAUCGUGAAGACUACUAAAGGAAAACCAAAAAGAAAGCUUCCUCCAUUUCAGAGCUUCUCUGUGGUGCCCUGGUUCUGUGACUACACUGGAGUAGAGACGCCUUCUGGGAUGUAUGAGCCAACACACUGUCUUAGGGUAGGCAAGAGUCCUCUCUGGGCUAAGGGAGUCAAUUCUUAGGAUCCUACAAACAAGAGAGUAAAUACCUAUGGCAUUUGACAACAGAAUAACAUUCUUUUAUCUGUUCAGUUUUCUGCCUCCUCCCUCCACUAUACCACAAAUCUAUAUAAAUGAUUUUAUCCAGUCAUCAGCAACCAUACUGCCAAAAAGGUAAACUCUAAUCCUAUCUCCAAUUAAUGUUUUCUUACAAGUCUGUACUCCAAUCAAACUCAGCCAAUAACUCCCCUUAAAGGCUGCCCAUUCUACUCAUCAAGCCACUGUUCAUACACGGCUGUGGGCAUCCUCUCACUGUCUUGUUAUUAGUUAGCUUUACAUUUAUUUCCGGGGCAUUCUCCUAACCAGGAGGUCAACUUGGAGAACAGGACAGGGCUGUAUAAUUGUUAUAUUCUGUUACAGAACAUGACUUUAUUAUAUAACAUACUGUUUGAAAAUCACAACCCUAUAAGUAUUUUCUCCAUGAAUCGGGUGAUACAUUAUUAACAAUUUUAAAUAAUAAUUGGGAGCUAGAAAAACUAAUCUGGGAAAAUGGAUCGUUAUUAUGGCAGUUGACCACAUUAAAAAAAAAAACCCUCAAAGCUAUUUAGUUUGGAUCAGUGUAAAUAAAUUCACUGACUAUUCAGCGAGAGGAUAGUAAAAAUAGAAUAGUGUCAGAUGUUAGAAAUGGCAUCAUGUAUAUGUGAAGAGCUCAAUAAUUUAUAAAACAGUCCAUAUAUUAUGUAACAUCUUCCUUUCUACAAUCCUGUGAAACAGGUUGAGCAAACAGUGUCACCCAUACUUUAUAAAGAAACCUAACUUCAGAACAGGCACCCUGAUAAAUUAAAGGCAGCAUUAGGAAUAUAACCCCAGCUGGGCGCAGUGGCUCAUGCCUGUAAUCCCUGCACUUUGGGAGGCCGAGGCGGGUGAAUCACGAGGUCAGGAGAUUGAGACCAUCCUGGCUAACAUGGUGAAACCCGGUCUCUACUAAAAAUACAAAAAAAAAAAAAUUAGCUGGGCGUGGUGGUGGGCGCCUGUAGUCCCAGCUACUCAGGAGGCUGAGGCGGGAGAAUGGCGUGAACCUGGGAGACGGAGCUUGCAGUGAGCAGAGAUUGCACCACUGCACUCCAGUCUGGGUGACAGUGCGAGAGACUGUCUCAAAAAAAAAAGAAAAGAAAAAAAAAAGGAAUGUAACCCCAAUUCUGUAUCCUGGCCAUAAAGAAGACAACUCAAUCAUGUGGCCCCUGAAAAGGUGUUAGAAGCCUCGACUGCUUUAUUACAUGCUAGCCGACUUCAUAAUCCUUAAAUAGGACAAAUAACCCAACAAUAGGUAUAGAUUAUAAACUUGGCUAAGCUGUGGGCUCGGUGAGGGCAAGUGCCUCUUCUCUUAUAUAUACAGCAUUGCCAUAGAACCUACACAUUGAAGGUCCUCAAAUAUCUAUUUAAUUGAUAACGUAUGUUUUGU
rnacentral:lncRNA from 1 species